rnacentral:misc_RNA from 1 species
GUGAAUCAUCGAAUUUUUGAACGCAAAUUGCACUCUCCUCGAAGAGGAUGCCUGUUUGAGUGUCAGCCUAUGAAAAUCUACAUCGUGGCUGGUUCGCUGUGGCGUUCGUCGAAGAUUUGGUCAUCUUAAAUCCUGUUGAUUUAAGCGACUUAAAAUUUUCUUUUGGUUCCAUGAACGUUUCUAAAAUCUAUUUCUUUACACUUUUAGAGUAUCGAUUUUUACUAGACUUGACCAUCAUAUCGGAUCGCGUCCUUAAUCUUUCAAUUGCUGACCUC